rnacentral:rRNA from 1 species
GUGAGGAAUAUUGGUCAAUGGGCGGGAGCCUGAACCAGCCAAGUCGCGUGAAGGAAGAAGGAUCUAUGGUUCGUAAACUUCUUUUGCAGGGGAAUAAAGUGCAGGACGUGUCCUGUUUUGUAUGUACCCUGAGAAUAAGGAUCGGCUAACUCCGUGCCAGCAGCCGCGGUAAUACGGAGGAUCCGAGCGUUAUCCGGAUUUAUUGGGGUUAAAGGGUGCGUAGGUGGUUUGAUAAGUCAGCGGUGAAAGUUUGCAGCUUAACUGUAAAAAUGCCGUUGAAACUGUCGGACUUGAGUGUAAAUGAGGUAGGCGGAAUGCGUGGUGUAGCGGUGAAAUGCAUAGAUAUCACGCAGAACUCCGAUUGCGAAGGCAGCUUACUAAGCUACAACUGACACUGAAGCACGAAAGCGUGGGGAUCAAACAGGAUUAGAUACCCGUGUAGUCC